rnacentral:rRNA from 1 species
GACGAACCGUGCGAGCGUUGUUCGGAAUCACUGGGCUUAAAGGGCGCGUAGGCGGGGUUGCAAGUCUGCGGUGAAAGCCUCCAGCUUAACUGGAGAAGUGCCGUGGAUACUGCGGAUCUCGAGGAGGGUCGGGGCAUCUGGAACGGUCGGUGGAGCGGUGAAAUGCGUUGAUAUCGACCGGAACUCCGGUGGCGAAGGCGAGGUGCUGGACCCUUUCUGACGCUGAGGCGCGAAAGCCAGGGGAGCGAACGGG